rnacentral:rRNA from 1 species
UACAGAGGGUGCGAGCGUUAAUCGGAAUUACUGGGCGUAAAGCGCACGUAGGUGGCGACGUAAGUCGGGUGUGAAAGCCCCGGGCUCAACCUGGGAAUUGCAUUCGAGACUGCAUUGCUGGAGUACGGAAGAGGAGGGUGGAAUUCCCGGUGUAGCGGUGAAAUGCGUAGAUAUCGGGAGGAACAUCAGUGGCGAAGGCGGCCCUCUGGUCCAGUACUGACACUCAAGUGCGAAAGCGUGGGGAGCAAACAGG